GGUCCGGGGUGUCGCGGGUGAUGCCGGCCGCCUGCAGGGCGACCGAGUUCACCACGGACAUGUGGCCGCUGGCGUUCCGGAUCAUCACCGGGUGGCC
rnacentral:tRNA from 1 species